rnacentral:lncRNA from 1 species
AGAUCGUGGGGCAGCUGCCCACAUGGCAAAUAAGCUGGAAUAUAACUGGAAGAUGGUUAUGAUUGAGCUGGAUGAUAGCUGUCAAAUAACCGUAUGUACUUCUGACGGUAUAUCGAUAAUAGAUCGAUAUAGAAUAAUUGAUAUUAGUAAAUAUCUAAACUGGACGCCAUGCCUUGAAUGCCAGUAAUCAGAUCGGACAAAAACCAAUAUAAGCUGAUUCAUUUGAGAG